UAAAUUAAAUUUAGUUUAAAGGAAAAUCUCAAUAAAAUCUUUAUGAAAGGUAUAAAGUAUUAAAAAAUUUUUCAGAAGAUUUAAUUUAUUUAAUAAUAAAAAAUUAUUGAAAUUUAUUUCAUCAUUAAUAUUCUAGCUAAUUUUGUGCCAGCAGCAGCGGUUAUACAAAAAGAAUAAUUUUUCUAUUUAAUUAUUUAAAAUAAAUAAAAAAGUAAAUUUUUUGGAAAAUUUAAGGUGAAAUUUUUUUUUCUUUUAUUUUUAAAAAAUAAAAAAAAACUCCAACCUUAAACAAGGAUUAGAUACCCUUUUAUUUGGAGCCAAAUAUUGUUAGUAAAUAUUAAACAUGAAAGCAAAAAAUUAUGGCGGUAUCUUAAGCUUUUCAGAGGAAUUUGCUCUUUAAUGGAUAAAACACCUAAACCUUACUGAAAUUUGUAAAGUCAACUUGUAUAUCACUAUGAUAAUAAUAAUUUACUAUUAUUAUUAAACUGUUUAACUAAAUUAAAAUUAAGUCAAGAUGCAGUAAAAAUUUUAGAAUGAAGUGAAUUACAUUACUCAAAAGUAAAAAUUAUUGAAAAUUCUCUUUUUAGGAUUUGAAAGUAAAAUUUUUUAAUAAAAUGAUAAUUUGAAUUAAGAUUUAAGAUAUGUACAUAUCGCCCGUCGCUCUUUUUACAAAGAUAAGUCGUAACAAAGUUAAAGCACUGGAAGGUGCUUU
rnacentral:ncRNA from 1 species